rnacentral:lncRNA from 1 species
CAUUGAUAACUGGUGUUCAAAUCCACGGGUGUUUUUUGAGCUGCACUUCUGAGAUGACACCAUUCAGUGGAAGUAUCCUGUCAUUCAAGUGUGACAGGAUGUGUACAUGAAGAAGGAUGCAGACAAUUAUUGUUUUGUUGGAACCAUUUCCAGUGAAAAAGGAAAAACUUUGGCCUACAUGUUUCUUACCUGAAAGACCUUCAAACAAGAGCUGUGGAGAACUGAAUCAUAAACUGAAUCAAGAACUGGGUCUGGCAUUCAGGGAUGACUGCACCACCUUGGCUGUAUUAACACAGUUAUCAUUUGAAGCCACUCAGAAGAACUAAAAAGAAAUUGCUGAACCUGUUCUUUCAUAUUUGUUUGGGACAAGCACUCAGCAUGCAUUGUUAUGUAUAAAAAGCCAUUUUCCUGGCUCCAAUAAUAAUUUUUUUUUUAAAAAAAUCCAUUAUAGUCAAUAAAUAUAUGCUCUGG